rnacentral:rRNA from 1 species
AUGGGGGCAGGGAGGCAUGUGUGCAGCGUCUUUUCCACAAAAUACUUUGUAGAUAUCUUGAGGGACACAGUGUCAUCUCAAAUCAUUGUUGCUGAUGAGAAGAUCAUUCCUAUCUCAAAGGAUUCAGUUCCUUAUGUGUUGGGCCUGCUAGACAGUGGUGAUUUAGCGACACAAGACAAGGAUAGUGGGAGGAACUUCAUUUUGUCUCGGUUCAGCUUGACAGAAAUGCCAAACAUUACUUUCUUUGGAGACAUGCUCAUAUCUUCUGAUUUUCACAGCGAGGAAGGCACUUUCAUAUGCUUCAUGGUGAUCGCAAUGUCGUGCUUCCUUUUUCCAUCUUCCAGCAAUCAGAUUCACAUUGAGUUUUUGACCUUGCUUGUUAAUCCAAAGCGCACAAGUGGUUUUGAUUUCUGUGCGCUUGUGUAUGAUUGGAUACUCACUGGCAUCAACAAGUUUGUGAUUUCUGGCAGAGUACCUGGCAGGAAACCAGAGGUGUUUUGA